GUCGUAACAAGGUUUCCGUAGGUGAACCUGCGGAAGGAUCAUUACCACACCAAGAUCCAAGAUCUUAUCUAUUGUGAAUUUAGCCGGCUUGUUGGCUCAACACUAUACAUUACGUGUAGUGGUCAACUCGCCGGCUGGACUAGUAAAGCAGCAAACCGGUGCUUUCUUGAUCUUUUCUGCAUCUUGAAGAAAGAAACUUGUGCGUUUGAGUACAAGGCAGAUCUGAUCGAGGGGUGCCCUCCACAAAAAAAUACAGGUAGUGAAACUAAAAUCUAAGACAAAGCGAGGCAUUGACUAGUAACAGGAAGAAACGAGUUAGCAUACAACACCCGUGUUGAUUAAUGCUAGCACACUACUGCCAAAAUUGAGCUAAGCAUACCAGAAAUUCAUUACAACUUUCAGCGAUGGAUGUCUAGGUUCCCA
rnacentral:misc_RNA from 1 species